AGAGAGAGACAUGCGCGCAUAUCAAUAAGCGGAGGAAAAGAAACUAACAAGGAUUCCCCUAGUAACGGCGAGUGAAGCGGGAAGAGCUCAAAUUUGAAAUCUUAAAGGGUUUCCCUUUACGAACUGUAGUUUAAAGAAGUGUUUUCUGUUGAGGUUUUGGUAAAAGUUCUUUGGAAUAGGACAUCAUAGAGGGUGAGAAUCCCGUAUUUGACCUUUACUUUCAACUUUGUGAUACACUUUCAAAGAGUCGGAUUGUUUGGGAAUGCAGUCCAAAAUGGGUGGUAAAUUUCAUCUAAAGCUAAAUAUUGGCGAGAGACCGAUAGCGAACAAGUACCGUGAGGGAAAGAUGAAAAGAACUUUGAAAAGAGAGUUAAACAGUACGUGAAAUUGUCAAAAGGGAAGCGUUUGACACCAGUGUUGUUUUUCUGAAAAUCAAUUAAAGAACUGUUUAUGCUAAGUUGUUUAGACUUUAUCAGCUAACUGUUUAGUUUUGAGCUUUUCUUUAAUGCACUUUUCAGUUAACAAGUCAACAUCAAUUUCUUUUGCUGUAAAAAAGCUUGAGGAAGGUGGCUUGAGAUUCGUCUUAAGUGUUUAUAGCCUCUUGCCUAUGCAGUCGGAGAGAUUGAGGUCUGCAGCGUAGAUCCUUCGGGGCUAAAUGCAUUUGUGCUAAGUUAUAGCAUUUUAUAGACAACUUGUUGACUAUGAUUUGUCUUGUAGCUUACUCGCUUAUGUUAUUUUACCUACGCUUAGGAUGUUGACGCAUGAGAUAUACGC
rnacentral:rRNA from 1 species